AUCCACCUGCUGCGGGCAGAUAAAGUGAAUAUGGGCGUCUAUGCCUCCCGCCGUCACUAUCUGGCCUUCACCGGCAAUCACUUCCGUGCCCGGGCCGAUUUCAAUAUCGACAUUAUCCUGGAUAUCCGGAUUACCCGCCUUGCCGAUAGCGGCAAUACGCCCUGCUUUGAUGCCGAUAUCCGCUUUAACUAUGCCCCAGUGAUCUAAUAUCAGGGCAUUGGUGAUCACCAGAUCCGGACUUUCGACACUGGAGACUUGGCUCUGUCCCAUGCCGUCACGGAU
rnacentral:sRNA from 1 species